rnacentral:lncRNA from 1 species
CUAGGAACAGUGCUUGACACAAGGGGUCACUCCUUGGGCAUUGGUGGCCAGAGGUGAGAUCUGUGGUCUGUGGCUCAACGUCAGUGAUGUCAGAGACUUCCCCAGGUGAUGGGCUUGAGCUAGAGAUGCAGCUUUGUUCAGUGAGGUCAUAACUCCUGGCCGUGCUCCUGCAUCUCCACUCCUGAUAACUAAAGGGGUAGGCAGAGCCCUUCUCACUAGGAUCCUUAGCUAGAGAAGGAAGGUGGGUCCCCAGGGCAGGGCAAAAAUGCAAGGCUGGGGGUUUCCGGUGUGCUGAGUCAACCAGGGAGAAGGAACCCACUGCUGGGCCAGAUCUGCAAGUAGGCUGCAGCUGUACACUGGUCCCACAGCCAGCCAGCCCCCAGUGCUCAUCUCUUCUGUCCCCAGGUCUCCCUUCCCUGCUUGACAGGAUGAGGCCACCAGUGCCUUCAGCCCCACUAGCUCUCUGGGUCCUGGGCUGCUUCUCCCUGCUCCUUUGGCUAUGGGCACUGUGCACAGCCUGCCACAGGAAGAGAGCUCAGAGGCAGCAAACUGGGCUGCAGGGCAGUUUGAUGCCAGUGGAAGUGCCACUGCUGAGACAGGCCCACCUCUGCUCCCUCAGCAAGUCUGACACCAGACUGCAUGAGCUGCACCGAGGCCAACGCUCCACCAUAGGUGAGUUCCUGGGAACCAUAAGUGUAGGGCUGGUGGCUUCAGUCUCCUACCACUAGGGCUAGCCCCACAGUGACUGCUGCCUUGACUUCACUCCUAGCCCCACGGCCUGCUAGCAUGGAUCUUCUGCAUCCACGCUGGCUAGAGUUAUCCAGGGGCAGCACCAGGUCUCAGGUACCCAACUCUGCCUUCCCACCACGGCAACUGCCCAGGGCCCCUCCUGCUGCCCCUGCAACUCCGCCUUCUACUAGCCCUGAGGCCACUUACUCCAAUGUGGGGCUGGCUGCAAUUCCCAGGGCCAGCCUGGCUGCUAGCCCUGUGGUGUGGCCUGGAAGACAGCUGACCAUUAGCUGUACCAGGCUUGGUCCUGGGGCCGAGUAUGCCUGCAUCCAGAAGCACAAAGGGACAGAGCAGGGCUGCCAAGAAUCACAACAGAAGGCUAAGGUGACCCCAGCUACUCAGGUAACGUCAGCCUGGGAAGGGCAGGGUAGAUGGGACUGAGCCCAUCCUUGGUGAGGACAAUGCUGAACCCUCCUUGGGUUUGCCUCUUCUCUCUAGAUGGAUGUCUUAUACUCUAGGGUCUGCAAGCCUAAAAGAAGAGACCCAAGACCUGACACAGACCAGCUGAACCUCCAGGAUGGGAGAACAAUUCUGGCCCUUGGGAAUGAUGUGAAAUAUGAGGCUAUCACUCUCAGGGGCCAGGAUAUGAAGCAAGGAACCUUAGAAAAUGUAUAUGAAAGCAUCAAGGAGAUGGGCCUCUGAGCAGCUGAGCCCUCACCUCCUGUCUGCUUCUGCUUCAGGAGGGUUUGAUGUGCAGGUCCUUCUGUGUCCUUCACCUCCACAGCUGACAGCACAAAGCUCAGGUCCAGUCCUUGUGGCCUAAUUAAAUCUCUGUUCAGUAAGAUUGGCUCUCAGUUGCUUUUUUUUUUUUUAAAGCUGGGAAGGUUGGAGUGGGAGUUUUCUGAAAGGGUUAGAUGUCCCCUUCUAGUCUUUGGUUUUGAUCCUUGGGCUCUGAGGCUAUGGCCUGGUCGUUAGACUCAGAAUUCUGUCAGUAGGCCCCGAGGGUAUGGAACAACAGGACCAGUUGGAAGAGUGGGAUCUGGACCCUCAGAUCCUCCUUAAACCUCUGUCACCAGCCCUUGAAGUUACAUAAGUAGGCGGCUGCUGGCAGUCCAGCUUGCAGGAGGCCAGCCAAGAAGGUGCCACCCUUUCCAAGCUCUGGUGGCUUUUCGGGCUAAGCCCUACUUCUUGGGCUGUAGGGCUUGUGGGCAUCUUGGAGCUGUCUGCAGGAGUUGAGCCGGCCCCCCAACCCCCACCAGUCUUAUCUGGAGCAUCCUGUAAGUCCAAUCCGGGACAGAGGGAAGCAUGGGCUACUUGAGGUGUUGCUGUGGGGGAGGGACAAUAAACACAAGCACCAGAAAAAAGCAGAAUAGGGGACAUGGCCAGUCAGGCAGCUGGAGGGGGGCCAGAGGUGGGGGGGGUGCAGAUCCUGGGUGGGGGCUGACCUGCCUGCCUGUCAUAGAGUCUGGCGUCAAUUCUGCAGCAUAAGCCAUAGAAGCUGAGCCCCCCACCCCUAGCCAGUACGGUCUGCGAACCUCACCUGCCCCACUCUUGAGGGUCAGGACAUAGCAUCUGUAGCCUCUCCAGAUUCUAAGUGCAGAGAACCUGGGUCAGUGUGCUACACUGGUUACUGUGCCCACAUCACUGCAGGUACAGGUGGGCAGGGGUACUGCCAGUUUCUUUGUGAAGAUGGCGUCUGGUCUGUGCACACUUUGGGCUCCGAGGGCAUGGCAGCUGGGGAGGCGCAUUGGCCUGUGUUUGUGUGUCAGUGUGUGUCUGUGGGUCAAGCCAGGCUAAACUGAGAGACCAACUGAUGCUUCCUGUGAAGACAAGUUGAGGUAGGGCCAUGCAGUCCAUACCAGCUGCAUCUGGUGGGGAGUUGGGCACCAAACAGAUUUGAGAUAGAGUCGGGGGUCCCAGGUCCACUCUCCCCCCACUCCCAUCCCCAUUUCAGGACCCUUCUAUAGGUGGCAGCCUGGUGGGCUUGGAGUUCUCAAAGCUGCAGGAACCUCAGACCAUGAACCCAGGAACUUUGGAAGCCAAGGCUGAAGCCUCAGCGCAGCUCCCAGUGCCUUCUGUCCACAUAUCCAAUGCCAGCAAAGAGACACUAAGCCUCUAUGGAGCAAGUAGUAUCCCCAAACAUGAUGUGCCACCAUCUAAACUUGCCUCUUGGACUCUCUAAGAGAUUAUCUGGAUCCUGACUGCCUCUCGCUGAAGCCAAAACUGUAACUCCACUUGGCUGGCCGUGCUGCUUCCUGGCCAUGCCAAGCCUCCCUACCUUCUGCUGGAGAGGCUUUUCUCUAAGUCUCUGAGGUCAGAUUCUCCUAGUUGCCCCUAUUCCUCAAGGCUCACCUGCACAGGUGGCAUAAUCAGAGACUUGGACAGAGCCAACAGGCAGCAGUUUCGGCAAAGCAGCUUGAGCCUUCUGAGCUCCCGUGUGGAGUUUCCCUUCAGAGUCUGGCUUGGAGCCCUGGAAGGAAGCCCUGGUUCACCUUAAGGCAGCUACAGCAGUAGCAGCAACAGUGGAGACUGGAGCUAGGACCUGACCAGCAGCCAGUCUUCUCCAUCCACUCCGUCACCCCUGCUGCCCUCUGAAGCUUUCUUUUUGGGGAGGCUACCCUGAGAAAAAGGAAGGAGGUAGGCAGAGCCAGAGCAGAGCGAUGGCAAGGAGGACUUCAACGACACGGAGCUUGAUGCUGGUAUGGACAUGCUGCCUAAUGUGUUGUUAGCCUGACUCCAGUGUCUCCUAUAGUCUCCAUGCCACUCGCCUUCUUCAUGUGGAGCCCCCAGCUCUUCCCAGUCUAUUACAGCCCUUAGCUUUGUCUCCACCUCCCAAGCUGUCCACCUCCCAAGCUGUCCAGCUGUCCAGCUGUUCCACAGGCAUGCCACAGUGACCAUGCCUACCAGCCAAGUGAGGCCAGAGAAAUUGGGCUCAAGUCUCAGAGCACUCUGGAGAGAAACAGUACAGGGGUUGUGGCUCAUUCCAUAGCUGUCUGGCCACCUGCGGACAGGCCAGGACCUACAUACCAGCCCUGUCCUUGGGGCCAACCUGACGUAUGUGUAGUUGGAGGGGCUGGGCGUGUACUAGGUGGUAAAGGUCUCAGCUGACGAUUCUCCAUACCCACCACGUGUCUCCUCCAGGAAGCCCCGGGUUGAUGCCAGAAGGUACCGGAAAGUGUAUGGCAUGGGACUCGUGGUGCUCAGCUUGUGGCUGGAAGAAAGCCUGCUAGCAGUUCCUGGACUGAGCCAAUCUGUGAUGCUACUGCCUGGCCUCUUUCUCACUCCUAGCCUGAACCUGCAGCAAACCUGUGGUGGGGUGACUCCUGGAGGGGAGAAAUGAUUGCAUACUCAAAGCGCCUUGAGACUGCUUGUUGUCCUUUGGCUGCAGGGGCAGUUUGCCUCCCUGUCUGUCACUUACCUACUUGUCGAAGAUGUUGAUGGACCCUGUAAAGCCUGUUUAAGAUGCACUUUGAGAGGUAUGGGGAGGAGUCUCGUGCCCACACGCAAGGUGGUGGUUGCAGGACCUUGAGACUGACGUUCACCAUGUAAUGAAGCUCAGGUGUCUUGUGCCUUGGCCAUAGGAGUUGAGGAGAAAAAUUAAAAAUUGUGGAG